rnacentral:rRNA from 1 species
GACGAACGCUGGCGGCGUGCCUAAUACAUGCAAGUAGAACGCUGAAGGAGGAGCUUGCUUCUCUGGAUGAGUUGCGAACGGGUGAGUAACGCGUAGGUAACCUGCCUGGUAGCGGGGGAUAACUAUUGGAAACGAUAGCUAAUACCGCAUAAUAGUAGAUGUUGCAUGACAUUUGCUUAAAAGGUGCAAUUGCAUCACUACCAGAUGGACCUGCGUUGUAUUAGCUAGUUGGUGAGGUAACGGCUCACCAAGGCAACGAUACAUAGCCGACCUGAGAGGGUGAUCGGCCACACUGGGACUGAGACACGGCCCAGACUACUACGGGAGGCAGCAGUAGGGAAUCUUAGGCAAUGGACGGAAGUCUGACCGAGCAACGCCGCGUGAGUGAAGAAGGUUUUCGGAUCGUAAAGCUCUGUUGUAAGAGAAGAACGAGUGUGAGAGUGGAAAGUUCACACUGUGACGGUAUCUUACCAGAAAGGGACGGCUAACUACGUG